GUGGAUAUAGUUUGAACUAAAAUACUAGAUUGUGAUUCUAGAGAAAGAGGUUAAAACCCCCUUGUCUACC
rnacentral:tRNA from 1 species